rnacentral:lncRNA from 1 species
AAAAAUAAAAAUUGUUCACUCUUGAAAUGUUUUGAGUAAAUAUUUUUUGGGGAUAUAUGUUAGGAGUGUUAAGUAAAUUUAUAUAUUUUUGUGGGGGUAUCGAGAGUGACUUUAUGUAAAAAUCCACUAGGUCUAGAUCCUCUAAGGACAAGAGGAAAUAUUUUCGAGGUAUGAAAAUAUAAUAUUAAAAUUCUUCAAAAUUUGUCUUCCUCGAAAAGUGACUUGGUGUAAGAUUUGCUAUGUCAAAGUUCUUUGAGGGCAAGAGGAAGUAUUUUCGAGGUGCAAAAACAUAAUAUUGCAAUUCAUCAAAAAUUGUUUUUC